GAUGAACGCUGGCGGCGUGCCUAAUACAUGCAAGUCGAGCGAACGGACGAGAAGCUUGCUUCUCUGAUGUUAGCGGCGGACGGGUGAGUAACACGUGGAUAACCUACCUAUAAGACUGGGAUAACUUCGGGAAACCGGAGUUAAUACCGGAUAAUAUUUUGAACCGCAUGGUUCAAAAGUGAAAGACGGUCUUGCUGUCACUUAUAGAUGGAUACGCGCUGCAUUAGCUAGUUGGUAAGGUAACGGCUUACCAAGGCAACGAUGCAUAGCCGACCUGAGAGGGUGAUCGGCCACACUGGAACUGAGACACGGUCCAGACUCCUACGGGAGGCAGCAGUAGGGAAUCUUCCGCAAUGGGCGAAAGCCUGACGGAGCAACGCCGCGUGAGUGAUGAAGGUCUUCGGAUCGUAAAACUCUGUUAUUAGGGAAGAACAUAUGUGUAAGUAACUGUGCACAUCUUGACGGUACCUAAUCAGAAAGCCACGGCUAACUACGUG
rnacentral:rRNA from 1 species